CAGAAGGCCAAGAAAAACAGACAGACAUAUUUGGACAAGUUUGUGAACUGUAAAGGUGGCGUAAGUGACUCCCUGGAUUCAUCACUCUAGGGUUAAACCAAUGGCAGAUUCUUGGCAAGCUAUCCCAGAUCCUGAAAAUCCUUGUAAGAUCCAGUUGAAGCAAACUACCCAGUCCCUGAAGCUUGAUUAAAGUGACAUAAGGAAGAGUAUGAGACGAUUAAAAAAAAAACGUGGAUGAGAAAGAUAUCAGAGAGCAGCAAGUAGGUGUUUUGAAAGCCAUAAUAAAGCCUGACCACCUACAAACGUUUCAUAGCCAGAGUGUCUCGAAG